CAGUAGCCGCGGGAAUACGAAGGGUGCAAGCGUUACUCGGUAUUACUGGGCGUAAAGCGUGCGUAGGCGGUUUGUUAAGUCUGUUGUGAAAUCCCCGGGCUCAACCUGGGAAUGGCAAUGGAUACUGGCAAGCUAGAGUGUGUCGGAGGAUGGUGGAAUUCCCGGUGUAGCGGUGAAAUGCGUAGAGAUCGGGAGGAACAUCAGUGGCGAAGGCGGCCAUCUGGGACAACACUGACGCUGAGGCACGAAAGCGUGGGGAGCAAACAGGAUUAGAUACCCGCGUAGUCCCUGUCUCUUAUAC
rnacentral:rRNA from 1 species